rnacentral:rRNA from 1 species
UACAGAGGGGGCAAGCGUUGUUCGGAAUUACUGGGCGUAAAGCGCGCGUAGGCGGCUUUGCAAGUCGGGUGUGAAAUCCCCAGGCUUAACCUGGGAACUGCAUUCGAGACUGCAUCGCUAGAGUAUCGGAGAGGGAAGUGGAAUUUCAGGUGUAGCGGUGAAAUGCGUAGAUAUCUGAAGGAACAUCAGUGGCGAAAGCGACUUCCUGGACGAAUACUGACGCUCAUGUGCGAAAGCGUGGGGAGCAAACAGG